rnacentral:misc_RNA from 1 species
AAGUCGUAACAAGGUUUCCGUAGGUGAACCUGCGGAAGGAUCAUUACCAAUUUAAUCCAAAAAAAACACUCAACCCAUGUGCACGAUGAUGAAUUGUCUGUUCUUGGGGUGUGGAAACUGUUAAAGGUUUUUCACCCCAUAUUUAUUCAAACCCUUUUUAUUUUCACUUUUGGCAUUUUGUCUUUAUAAUAAAACAAAGGACAACUUUUAACGGUGGAUCUCUUGGCUCGUG